GAUGAACGCUGGCGGCGUGCCUAAUACAUGCAAGUCGAGCGAACAGACGAGGAGCUUGCUCCUCUGACGUUAGCGGCGGACGGGUGAGUAACACGUGGAUAACCUACCUAUAAGACUGGGAUAACUUCGGGAAACCGGAGCUAAUACCGGAUAAUAUAUUGAACCGCAUGGUUCAAUAGUGAAAGACGGUUUUGCUGUCACUUAUAGAUGGAUCCGCGCCGCAUUAGCUAGUUGGUAAGGUAACGGCUUACCAAGGCAACGGUGGGUAGCCGACCUGAGAGGGUGAGCGCCGACACUGGAACUGAGACGCGGUCCAGACUCCGACGGGAGGCAGCGGUAGCGAAUGUUGCGCAAUGGGCGAAAGCUUGACGGAGCAACGCCGCGUGAGUGAUGAAGGGCUUCGGACCGUAAAACUCUGUUAUGAGGGAAGACCAAAUGUGUAAGUGACGAUGCACGUCUUGACGGUACCUACUGAGAAAGCAACGGCUAACUACGUG
rnacentral:rRNA from 1 species